rnacentral:rRNA from 1 species
CGCGUAGGCGGUUUGGUAAGUCACGUGUGAAAUCCCGGCGCUCAACGCCGGGGCUGCAUGUGAGACUGUCAGACUAGAGCUCGGUAGAGGCAAGUGGAAUUCCCGGUGUAGCGGUGGAAUGCGUAGAUAUCGGGAAGAACACCGGUGGCGAAGGCGGCUUGCUGGGCCGAUGCUGACGCUGAGGCGCGAAAGCGUGGGGAGCAAACAGGAUUAGAUACCCUGGUAGUCCACGCUGUAAACGAUGGGUACUAGGCGUCGGGGGGAGCGACCCCCUCGGUGCCGUCGCUAACGCAGUAAGUACCCCGCCUGGGGAGUACGGCCGCAAGGCUGAA